rnacentral:rRNA from 1 species
UGGGGAAUCAUAGUCAAUGGGCGAAAGCCUGAACCUGCGACGCCGCGUGAGUGAUGAAGGUCGUAAGAUCGUAAAACUCUUUUCAGGGAUCUUAAAGCCUGUCUGUCAACAACAGGCAGGUCUGACUCUCACUGGAAGAAGCCCCAGCCAACUACGUGCCAGAAGCUGCGGUAAUACGUAGGGGGCGAGCGUUAUUCGGAAUUACUGGGUGUAAAGGGUAUGUAGGCGGCCCUUCAAGUCGCGUGUCAAAGUCCAGUGCUCAACGCUGUGUGUGCGCGCGAUACUGGCGGGCUUGAGGGCUGGAGAGGUGAGCGGAACUCCCGGUGCAGUGGUAAAAUACGUCGAGUUCGGGAGGAACACCAGCGGCGUAGGCGGCUCACUAGACAGUUUCUGACUCUAAGAUACGAAAGCGUGGGUAGCAAACA